GGUUAAGCGACUAAGCGUACACGGUGGAUGCCCUGGCAGUCAGAGGCGAUGAAGGACGUGCUAAUCUGCGAUAAGCGUCGGUAAGGUGAUAUGAACCGUUAUAACCGGCGAUUUCCGAAUGGGGAAACCCAGUGUGAUUCGUCACACUAUCAUUACGUGAAUACAUAGCGUAAUGAAGCGAACCGGGGGAACUGAAACAUCUAAGUACCCCGAGGAAAAGAAAUCAACCGAGAUUCCCCCAGUAGCGGCGAGCGAACGGGGAGCAGCCCAGAGUCUGAAUCAGCUUGUGUGUUAGUGGAACGGUCUGGAAAGUCCGACGGUACAGGGUGAUAGUCCCGUACACCAAAAUGCACAGGCUGUGAACUCGAAGAGUAGGGCGGGACACGUGGUAUCCUGUCUGAAUAUGGGGGGACCAUCCUCCAAGGCUAAAUACUCCUGACUGACCGAUAGUGAACCAGUACCGUGAGGGAAAGGCGAAAAGAACCCCGGCGAGGGGAGUGAAAAAGAACCUGAAACCGUGUACGUACAAGCAGUGG
rnacentral:rRNA from 1 species